UACGAAGGGGGCGAGCGUUGUUCGGAAUUACUGGGCGUAAAGGGCGCGUAGGCGGCCCGCUAAGUCGAACGUGAAAUCCCUGGGCUCAACCCAGGAACUGCGUCCGAUACUGGCAGGCUUGAAUCCGGGAGAGGGAUGUGGAAUUCCAGGUGUAGCGGUGAAAUGCGUAGAUAUCUGGAGGAACACCGGUGGCGAAGGCGGCAUCCUGGACCGGUAUUGACGCUGAUGCGCGAAAGCCAGGGGAGCAAACGGG
rnacentral:rRNA from 1 species